rnacentral:lncRNA from 1 species
GUUUUUAAUGACAGGAGAAUUCUAAUACACCGAGGAGCUAGGAUUAAGAAGAAAGCUUAAAACUCCUCAGAACCUAUAAUCUACUUAUGAUUGUAUGACCUUAAAGGGGAGAGGGUAGUAUAUGUAUACUCUGUUCCAAGCUUAUUUGAUCACUGAAGCCUAUUUUUGCCAAGAAACAUCUUGGAGGCCACGGAUUUAGCUCAGUGGUUUCACCGCCUGCCUUGCAGGUGCAAGGACCCGAGUUUGAUCCCCGGUACCAAAAAAAAAAAAAUCUUGGAACAUUGAGAAAUGCUAUUCCUUUUACUUCUAAAAUUAUUAUACUUUAGGGGCGAGGGAUUUAGCUCUGUGGCUCUAUGUGCCUGCCUCGCAAACAAGAUCCUGAGUUCAACCCCUGGUACUGGGGAAAAAAUUAUUAUAUUUUACUCGAACAGUUUAUUGAGGUAACGAUUUCCAUAUUUGAACUUAGUGUAGCACUUUGGCCUAAACAAUUUUCAGGAAUUCAUAGAUAACUUUAUUUUUUAGAUUUUAAAAAUAAACACUUUCCUGUUCUCAAAAGUUGUUCUGACUUGCCCAGAUAGACCACUCAUCCCUCAUUAAUGUAGUAUUAAUAAAUUUUGAAUCAAACUCUGUUAGGAGUCAGGGAUGUAUAAGUGAUAGAGCCUUGAGCUCUGUUUCCAGUGUCUCCCAGGAUAGAACUUGAGAAUUUGCAUUUUAAUUCUCCCGCCAGCGAUUCUGAAAUGUAUGGGUGAUAGACCAGCCCAGAGGAAAUAAAGCUUGAACUUUUUUUGUGAACUUAAAUUGGCAUGUGUAUAGGUAUUUUGUAUAUGCUUACGUAUGUUUGUAUCUGUAUAUAUAUUAUACACAUGUACACAUGCUUAUUUUUAUUUAUUUAUUUUAUCACAUGAUUAUUUUUACAUUAGAAUGACCUCCCUCAACUUUUUUUCUCAUGAGCAUUUUCCCACAGCAUUAAAUAUCCUCUGAAAUGAUGAACUUCAUGAUUUUCUAUCAUUGCAUUCUAUAGAUAUGAUAUCAUUUGACAAUUUUUCUAUCUGGAACAUUUAGAUUGUUUUCCGUUAUACAUAAUUCUACAUGAGUAUUCUCAUACUAAAUAUCUCUGAGUUAUAUCCUUCCUUGGAAUUGAUUCAUCUGAGGGUCAAAAUAUCUGACUUAUGUUUUUAGGCUCAAGGUAGGAAUCAGCCGCUUGUUUUCAUGCUUGUUCAUACUCUAUGUAGGAGUGGCCUGUUUCGUGACUCUUAUGUAUAAAUGGUAUGGACAGUCAUUGAUUUAUAACCUUUCUAGCAGUUCUUCCCUAAGACAUUAGUCUUACAAUAAAAAUUAUUUUUGGCUUCUAGUACAAAUAACUUUAUUAUGUCUUUCAACUAGGACAUACAAUGCAACUGUGAUUUUGUUGAAUGUUCUUGUGCCAACUUAAAAUUUGGGUAGUUUUUACUUUAUUAAAGGGAUAAAAAUCUUUACUGCUUCAAAUAUGUCCAUGACAAAUGCACAUGAAAGUAUUUUUAUCCUCACAGAGGUAUAUAUUUACAGUAAAAUAUAUUGUAUCUGUUCUUACAAAUUCAUGCUUUUUUUCUGGUAAUGAAUAUCAGUAUUUUUCUUAUAUGGGAAUACUGAAAAGGAAGUGUUGGUCAUGGAUUUGAAUGUUCCUUCUUAGCAGAGUAAGAACAGAGUUAGGGGAGGUCGUGGAAUAAUAGUGUGAAAAUUUUUUCUUCCCUAGUAGGAAAUAACAGUGUACAAAACUGAAAAGCAAAUAGCACUUUAAAUGAAUAUUUUAAAAAGCAAAGGGAAGGGCUGGGAAUGUAGCACAGCAGUAGACCCUGCCCCUCCAAAAAAAAACAAGAAGGGGGAGGAAAUACUAGGUGAAUAGUUAGGAGUGGAAGAAGGGGUCCUUAGAAGGAGCAAAGGGAUUGGGGAGGGAUGGUUGGGAUACUACUGGGUUGUUUUGUUUUGGAGGGCUGCCAUUUUUUUUUAUAAACCUUAUACUGUAAUACUGUUUGCUGCUUUGAAUGAUUUGUAUGUGUAUAUUCAUUUACUAUAAAAAUUAAAACACACAGAUAAGCUGCUCUGAAUAAUCAUAUCAGUAAUCACUGCUUGUUUCCACAUGGGCUUUCCAGUUAGUUGACAGUUCCUUUUCAAGUCUUUGUAACAUUCCAUUCCAUUCUCUAUACUGCAGCCAGAGUGAUUUUUUUCCCAAAUGUAAAUUGGAGCUGUCUUGCAUUCCCCAGCUUGAAACUGUUCAAUGCUUUUGCCUUACCUACCUUUUCAACCUACUCUUAACCAUCAGUGCUACCUAGGUUUGCAGCCCCAGCCAUGUGGGCCUUCUUUCAGUCCUUUGUCAGGGAUUUCCAUUAUUACAAAGCCUCCGCACAGCCUGCUCCCUCAGCCUGGCGUGCUCUUUUGCUUCUUUCCAGGUUCACCAACCCUGGACCUUCAGAUCACAGGUCUGUUGUCAUAACCUCAUGGAUAGCUUGCCUGGCCCCCUACUAGGUAGCAUAUUACGCUCACAGCACUUGCACUGCACUUUCCUGGUGCUUGUCACUCAUAGCUUCAUUUUACUUUUGUAUUUGACUGUUGUUUCUUUUUGCCAAUAGCUCUAUAAGCUACACAAAGGCAUAACUAUGUCUGAUUUUGUUUCCCUUUGUGCCUAGCUCUGUGCCUGGAAUAUAGCAGACAAUAAAUAGCAUCACCUGGC